rnacentral:rRNA from 1 species
CAGCCGCCACGGGAAUACGUAGGGUGCAAGCGUUAAUCGGAAUUACUGGGCGUAAAGCGUGCGCAGGCGGUUUUGUAAGACAGAGGUGAAAUCCCCGGGCUCAACCUGGGAACUGCCUUUGUGACUGCAAGGCUAGAGUACGGCAGAGGGGGAUGGAAUUCCGCGUGUAGCAGUGAAAUGCGUAGAUAUGCGGAGGAACACCGAUGGCGAAGGCAAUCCCCUGGGCCUGUACUGACGCUCAUGCACGAAAGCGUGGGGAGCAAACAGGAUUAGAUACCCCCGUAGUCCCUGUCUCUUAUAC